GGGUCAGUAGGUUGGUCGUGCCACCGGUACGUACUGGUCUCACUGAUUCCUCCUUUCCUGAAGAACCGUAAUGCCAUUAAUUUGGUGUUGCGGGGAAACAGGACUGUUACUUUGAAAAAAUUAUAGUGUUUAAAGCAAGCUAACGCUUGAAUACAUUAGCAUGGAAUAAUGAAAUAGGACGAUCGAUCCUAUUUUGUUGGUUUCUAGGAUUGACGUA
rnacentral:rRNA from 1 species